UACGUAGGGCGCAAGCGUUGUCCGGAAUUAUUGGGCGUAAAGAGCUCGUAGGCGGCUUGUCACGUCGGGUGUGAAAGCCCGGGGCUUAACCCCGGGUCUGCAUUCGAUACGGGCUAGCUAGAGUGUGGUAGGGGAGAUCGGAAUUCCUGGUGUAGCGGUGAAAUGCGCAGAUAUCAGGAGGAACACCGGUGGCGAAGGCGGAUCUCUGGGCAUGAUCUGACGCUGAGGAGCGAAAGUGUGGGGAGCGAACAGG
rnacentral:rRNA from 1 species